rnacentral:piRNA from 1 species
UGACAGAUUCACAUGCAGGAGAAGAAA